UACAGAGGUCCCAAGCGUUGUCCGGAAUCAUUGGGCGUAAAGGGCGCGUAGGUGGCCUGCUAAGCGUGCGGUGAAAGUCGGGGCUCAACCCCCGAUCGGCCGGUGCGAACUGGGAGGCUUGAGCACUGUAGAGGCAGGCGGAAUUCCGGGUGUAGCGGUGGAAUGCGUAGAUAUCUGGAGGACACCGGUGGCGAAGGCGGCAUCCGUGGGACCCGGCACGUAG
rnacentral:rRNA from 1 species